UACGGAGGAUGCAAGCGUUAUCCGGAUUUAUUGGGUUUAAAGGGUCCGCAGGCGGGAUCAUAAGUCAGUGGUGAAAUCCUGCAGCUUAACUGUAGAACUGCCAUUGAUACUGUGAUUCUUGAAUGUAGUUGACGUGGGCGGAAUAUGACAUGUAGCGGUGAAAUGCAUAGAUAUGUCAUAGAACACCAAUUGCGAAGGCAGCUCACGAAACUAUUAUUGACGCUCAGGGACGAAAGCGUGGGUAGCGAACAGGAUUAGAUACCCGAGUAGU
rnacentral:rRNA from 1 species